CUUUACUCACGCGCGGCUUGGAACGAACGAACGAACGAACGAACGAACGAACUCUGGCAUAAAAAUGCAGGCUUUAUUGAAACCGAGCUUUACAAUAGAGAAACGCAACAAUUUCUCACGUGUCACCAGGAUAAUAUCAGUGAAGGUUGUGCGACUGUGAUUGGAUAUAUUUUGAAGUACACAUCUUUCUUGAUGACUAUCUAAAUAAGGAUUUACUGCGUCGCUAAGCGUCCGGUCCAGACUAAAUCCAAACUGAAGUCCGAAUAAAG